rnacentral:rRNA from 1 species
UACAGAGGUCUCAACCGUUGUUCGGAUUCAUUGGGCGUAAAGGGUGCGUAGGCGGUCGCGCAAGUCGGAUGUGAAAUCUCAGGGCUCAACCCUGAAACUGCAUUCGAUACUGCGUGGCUAGAGUGCUGGAGAGGAGACUGGAAUUUACGGUGUAGCAGUGAAAUGCGUAGAUAUCGUAAGGAAGACCAGUGGCGAAGGCGGCUACCUGGACAAAUACUGACGCUGAGGCGCGAAAGCGUGGGGAUCAAACAGG